rnacentral:rRNA from 1 species
CAGGCUUAACACAUGCAAGUCGAGGGGCAGCAUGGUCUUAGCUUGCUAAGGCCGAUGGCGACCGGCGCACGGGUGAGUAACACGUAUCCAACCUGCCGUCUACUCUUGGACAGCCUUCUGAAAGGAAGAUUAAUACAAGAUGGCAUCAUGAGUCCGCAUGUUCACAUGAUUAAAGGUAUUCCGGUAGACGAUGGGGAUGCGUUCCAUUAGAUAGUAGGCGGGGUAACGGCCCACCUAGUCUUCGAUGGAUAGGGGUUCUGAGAGGAAGGUCCCCCACAUUGGAACUGAGACACGGUCCAAACUCCUACGGGAGGCAGCAGUGAGGAAUAUUGGUCAAUGGGCGAGAGCCUGAACCAGCCAAGUAGCGUGAAGGAUGACUGCCCUAUGGGUUGUAAACUUCUUUUAUAAAGGAAUAAAGUCGGGUAUGCAUACCCGUUUGCAUGUACUUUAUGAAUAAGGAUCGGCUAACUCCGUGCCAGCAGCCGCGGUAAUACGGAGGAUCCGAGCGUUAUCCGGAUUUAUUGGGUUUAAAGGGAGCGUAGAUGGAUGUUUAAGUCAGUUGUGAAAGUUUGCGGCUCAACCGUAAAAUUGCAGUUGAUACUGGAUAUCUUAAGUGCAGUUGAGGCAGGCGGAAUUCGUGGUGUAGCGGUGAAAUGCUUAGAUAUCACGAAGAACUCCGAUUGCGAAGGCAGCCUGCUAAGCUGCAACUGACAUUGAGGCUCGAAAGUGUGGGUAUCAAACAGGAUUAGAUACCCUGGUAGUCCACACGGUAAACGAUGAAUACUCGCUGUUUGCGAUAUACAGCAAGCGGCCAAGCGAAAGCGUUAAGUAUUCCACCUGGGGAGUACGCCGGCAACGGUGAAACUCAAAGGAAUUGACGGGGGCCCGCACAAGCGGAGGAACAUGUGGUUUAAUUCGAUGAUACGCGAGGAACCUUACCCGGGCUUAAAUUGCAGAUGAAUUACGGUGAAAGCCGUAAGCCGCAAGGCAUCUGUGAAGGUGCUGCAUGGUUGUCGUCAGCUCGUGCCGUGAGGUGUCGGCUUAAGUGCCAUAACGAGCGCAACCCUUGUUGUCAGUUACUAACAGGUUCCGCUGAGGACUCUGACAAGACUGCCAUCGUAAGAUGUGAGGAAGGUGGGGAUGACGUCAAAUCAGCACGGCCCUUACGUCCGGGGCUACACACGUGUUACAAUGGGGGGUACAGAGGGCCGCUACCACGCGAGUGGAUGCCAAUCCCAAAAACCUCUCUCAGUUCGGACUGGAGUCUGCAACCCGACUCCACGAAGCUGGAUUCGCUAGUAAUCGCGCAUCAGCCACGGCGCGGUGAAUACGUUCCCGGGCCUUGUACACACCGCCCGUCAAGCCAUGGGAGCCGGGGGUACCUGAAGUGCGUAACCGCGAGGAGCGCCCUAGGGUAAAACUGGUGACUGGGGCUAAGU